CUGAAGGUCACUUGUGGAUUGGAUGGAGCCCACCCCUUGCCUGAACCUUCUCUGCAGGUCAGCCCUAAGGGGCUGGGAGAUGUUCCUGUUCCUAACAGCCUACCCGAGGCCCGGGUGUAUGACCAGCAUCAGUUGGAUGCAAAUCCUAUGGGUGAGACUGAAGCAAAUGACCCCAUCUAUCCUGCAAAACCUGAAGAAGCCAUCACGGGGUAUGUGGAUUCACAGACAAAUUCAUUAUAUUUGAAUGAUAUAUUUCAGCAAUGUUAGGACAACUACCUGUUAGGUACAUUCAGAAGCCCUGUUGUUUAUUAUUGGCAGGUCCCAUGACACCUGGUGGGCUUGGUACUCUGAUAGAUAUGGAUCUUUCUUCGAGCAGACGAACAGUGUCAACUCCACAUCAGAUGAGUGUGAUUACCUGGACUCUAACUCUGAUGAAGAAGAACACGAGAUGCAUGGACAUCUG